rnacentral:ncRNA from 1 species
GAAAAGGUGAAAAGGAGAGAUGAUUCUCAUCUCUCUUGACAAGGACGAAAACAAUUCUCAAAUCUGGUUAACACAUCGGUAAAGGCUACCCAGUACCCAUCUUU